AUUGAACGCUGGCGGCAUGCUUUACACAUGCAAGUCGAACGGCAGCGCGGGCUUCGGCCUGGCGGCGAGUGGCGAACGGGGGAGUAAUGCAUCGGAACGUGCCCAGUAGUGGGGGAUAGCCCGGCGAAAGCCGGAUUAAUACCGCAUACGACCUGAGGGUGAAAGCGGGGGACCGAAAGGCCUCGCGCUAUUGGAGCGGCCGAUGUCGGAUUAGCUAGUUGGUGGGGUAAAGGCUUACCAAGGCGACGAUCCGUAGCUGGUCUGAGAGGACGACCAGCCACACUGGGACUGAGACACGGCCCAGACUCCUACGGGAGGCAGCAGUGGGGAAUUUUGGACAAUGGGGGCAAGCCUGAUCCAGCCAUGCCGCGUGCGGGAAGAAGGCCUUCGGGUUGUAAACCGCUUUUGUUCGGGAAGAAAUCCUCUGGGCUAAUACCCCGGGGGGAUGACGGUACCGGAAGAAUAAGCACCGGCUAACUACGUG
rnacentral:rRNA from 1 species